GCAAGUCGAGCGGACAGAUGGGAGCUUGCUCCCUGAUGUUAGCGGCGGACGGGUGAGUAACACGUGGGUAACCUGCCUGUAAGACUGGGAUAACUCCGGGAAACCGGGGCUAAUACCGGAUGGUUGUUUGAACCGCAUGGUUCAAACAUAAAAGGUGGCUUCGGCUACCACUUACAGAUGGACCCGCGGCGCAUUAGCUAGUUGGUGAGGUAACGGCUCACCAAGGCAACGAUGCGUAGCCGACCUGAGAGGGUGAUCGGCCACACUGGGACUGAGACACGGCCCAGACUCCUACGGGAGGCAGCAGUAGGGAAUCUUCCGCAAUGGACGAAAGUCUGACGGAGCAACGCCGCGUGAGUGAUGAAGGUUUUCGGAUCGUAAAGCUCUGUUGUUAGGGAAGAACAAGUACCGUUCGAAUAGGGCGGUACCUUGACGGUACCUAACCAGAAAGCCACGGCUAACUACGUGCCAGCAGCCGCGGUAAUACGUAGGUGGCAAGCGUUGUCCGGAAUUAUUGGGCGUAAAGGGCUCGCAGGCGGUUUCUUAAGUCUGAUGUGAAAGCCCCCGG
rnacentral:rRNA from 1 species